rnacentral:other from 1 species
CGGAUGGAGCCGUUCUCUACAAGCAGGAAGCUUGUACGUCAGGAAGACUUAGGACAACCCAGGAUGGGGGCUUAAGGACUACUUCAGGACGAAGUCAUGGACACCUCCAGGAUGGAGAGCUUAUCGAAAACGGGAAUUUCGGUUUGUCAGGAUGACGAAAGGACACCUCCAAGACGGAGAGACAUGGAACGACGCUGAAGGAUUCGGCGACUGAUCAAGGAAUGAUGCAGGGAGCACCUUUUAGUAGCAGGAUGGCUGCAAGUAAAACUCUAGGGCGCGGCGCAAGCUGCGCCCUUUCCUUUUUUC